UACUAGUUAUACUCUGUUUAUCAUUCUCAUACAAAUACAAUGGACCCAACCUCAACAGGGACCAAUAUUUUUAAUUCCUCUACCACUACCACAUAUUUUUUUUUUAUUUUUUCUUAAUUACAUAUCUCCCAAUUUCUUGGCAUUUAAGGCCUUAGCCCCCUGAAGAACUCUUCAUCCCACAUAACAAACUUCAAAACUUUUCCAAAAGUCUUUUAACAUUUGUUUGGCUAGCUUUAGCAUAAGUAGACAAAUCAAUGGCUGCAAAUUCGUUCUCGAUUGGGUGCUCAAAGCUAAGGUCAUGGCAGCGGUGUACAAAACAUAUUCGUCAGCAAAGAGCAAGACUUUAUAUUAUAUGGAGAUGUACUGUUCUUCUCCUGAACUGGCAUGACUGAAUUGUAGCUGAUCUAUAUAUAUAUAUAUAUAUAAAUGGUGAACUUUUUGUAUAGUUUCGAGCCAGAUAGUGGUAUGUGAAUUAGAGACUGAGGUGUGGUACCAAAAGACUCGCCCGGCAGGCAGUACUGGAGAAGUAGAUCGAUCAGUAUUGAGUUUUGUUGGCGCAACGCUGCUUAAAGUAAAGAACUGAUGAUGAUCUUAAAGGUAUAUAUGUAUAUAUAUAUAUAUAUAUAUAUAUAUAUAUAUAUAUAUAUAUAUAUUACCNNNNNNNNNNNNNNNNNNNNNNNNNNNNNNNNNNNNNNNNNNNNNNNNNNNNNNNNNNNNNNNNNNNNNNNNNNNNNNNNNNNNNNNNNNNNNNNNNNNNUUGUUGAAUACUAUCUAGUUUCUUGUUAAUUUUGAGUCAAAAACUAGUAAUUCACAUUCAGAAAAGUUUGUAUCACUACUCUAAUACUGCAUCUCAUCAUUUCCAAUAUUUACAUAUUUUGAAUAUUGUGUUAUUUUAUUCUAUUAAAUAAAAAAUGAAUCUUUUGGUAUAUAUAAUAAUUAUCUUUUUAAUAAAUGAGACUCCAAACUUUCGAGUAAAACUUUUUGGAGACGGUAAAAAAGAGAAAUGAAAAUAAAGAAUUUAUGACUCAAAUUAACCAAAUUUAUUCCUUCUCUUUCUGUCGGCAAUCAAGAAGGUUAGUAGGUAUCAACAAUUGAAGUCAGUCCAGGUAGAAAUUCAAUCAACUUAAGCAGUGUUAAACUUAUGCUUCAAAGUUUUUAUUCUUACUGUAAUCAGUUUAUUCAGUCAAAAUCCAAAAAAAUAAAAUAAAAUAAAAUAAUUUUUAGCCUUUUUAUAAAAAAAAUAAAAUAAAGAAAGCAGGGCAGGGCAGGGCAGGGCAUUAAUAUGAGCUAAACAAAAACUCAACUUGUUGUUUGUCCAUUUCAGACACAUACUACAUUUUAGGUAGUUUAGGCAAGCGGACCCCAUUGCUAUAAGUAUUGAAAUCACACCCAAUUCAUUCAUGACAAUAUCUCAUAUGGUAAGAUACUAGUAGUAUAAUUAAUUGAUGGACUCUUUUUCCAAAUUUAUUGUUUUGUAUAAUUUGGCAUAAAGUUUAAUAAUACAAAACUCAUUAUAGAAAGAUUAUGUGCAACUGGAUUUACUAUUAAAUAAUUAAAUAUACAAAUUUGGGAUUAUCUUUUCAGAUAAUAUUAAUUGUUUCUUUACCUACUUACUACAAACAAAAUUUACCAUUAAAGAUAGAAAAAUAGAACAAAUGCCAGGUCCCUUUUGUUUUUGUUUUAUUUCCUUUCCUUUGUAGCAUAAUUUUGCUUCAAAAAAGUGAGAGAAUUUCAAUGUUACUUCGAAUUUGAUAACCAGCGGCAAGUGGAUACAUGUAUACAUGUGGAUGUGGGAUGUGGGAUGUGGGAUGGGGGCGGGGGGGUUAUAGAAGAGAAGAGGGACAUAAAUAUUUGGAGGCUGGAGCUAAUAGUUAGUUAUAGUAGCUCUAGGCUCAGCUCCAUAAGGGAUAGUUUGAAGGUUUAAUGGGGUAGGAGAAGAUGAAACAAUUCCAACUGGAAUAUAUAGCCUAAAGGUAGUCAAGUAUUUCAUACAUAACUUUCAAAUCGUUGUAGACUUGUAGGUCCCUUUUCAUUGGGAGGCCCUAUUUAAAAGCUUCUUUCCCCAAAGGGCCCAAACCAAAGAAGAUCAAGAACAUAAAAGGAUCCCAAGUCAUCGUAUCACAUACAAGAUUUCUUAGUUACUUGCAUUGGUCCAAAACACUUUAAACAACCCCCAAAAGAGGGACCUUUUUACAUUGUAUCUAGUACUGGUGUGGUGGGGUGGGGGUGGGGUAAAAAGUUCUUUUUAACUACUCAAACUGUAAAGGAGUCCUCUAGCUCAUUCUUUUUCACAUUAUAUACUGAGCGUGCACAGAUAGUUGCAUGCAACAUUAGGGGAUGUCAAAGAAUUCCCAUCCAGCAUCCACAAACUCCUUACGAGCUGUGGGC
rnacentral:lncRNA from 1 species